rnacentral:rRNA from 1 species
UACGGAGGGGGCUAGCGUUGUUCGGAAUUACUGGGCGUAAAGCGCACGUAGGCGGCUUUGUAAGUUAGAGGUGAAAGCCCGGAGCUCAACUCCGGAACUGCCUUUAAGACUGCAUCGCUUGAACAUCGGAGAGGUAAGUGGAAUUCCGAGUGUAGAGGUGAAAUUCGUAGAUAUUCGGAAGAACACCAGUGGCGAAGGCGACUUACUGGACGACUGUUGACGCUGAGGUGCGAAAGCGUGGGGAGCAAACAGG